rnacentral:rRNA from 1 species
CAGAUGACGCUGGCGGCGUGNCUAAUACAUGCAAGUCGAGCGAAUGGAUNAAGAGCUUGCUCUUAUGAAGUUAGCGGCGGACGGGUGAGUAACACGUGGGUAACCUGCCCAUAAGACUGGGAUAACUCCGGGAAACCGGGGCUAAUACCGGAUAACAUUUUGAACCGCAUGGUUCGAAAUUGAAAGGCGGCUUCGGCUGUCACUUAUGGAUGGACCCGCGUCGCAUUAGCUAGUUGGUGAGGUAACGGCUCACCAAGGCAACGAUGCGUAGCCGACCUGAGAGGGUGAUCGGCCACACUGGGACUGAGACACGGCCCAGACUCCUACGGGAGGCAGCAGUAGGGAAUCUUCCGCAAUGGACGAAAGUCUGACGGAGCAACGCCGCGUGAGUGAUGAAGGCUUUCGGGUCGUAAAACUCUGUUGUUAGGGAAGAACAAGUGCUAGUUGAAUAAGCUGGCACCUUGACGGUACCUAACCAGAAAGCCACGGCUAACUACGUGCCAGCAGCCGCGGUAAUACGUAGGUGGCAAGCGUUAUCCGGAAUUAUUGGGCGUAAAGCGCGCGCAGGUGGUUUCUUAAGUCUGAUGUGAAAGCCCACGGCUCAACCGUGGAGGGUCAUUGGAAACUGGNAGACUUGAGUGCAGAANAGGAAAGUGGAAUUCCAUGUGUAGCGGUGAAAUGCGUANAGAUAUGGANGAACCCAGUGGCGAAGGCGACUUUCUGGUCUGUAACUGACNCUGAGGCGCGAAAGCGUGGGGGAGCAACAGNAUUANAUACCCUGGUANNCCCNCCGNAAACNAUGAGUGCUAAGUGUUANAGGGUUNCCCCCCUUUAGGCUGAANUNACNCAUUNANCNCCCCCCUGGGGAAUACGNCCCCAAGNUUAAACUCNAAGGAAUUGACGGGGGCCCCCCCAA